rnacentral:rRNA from 1 species
GAUGCAGCAAUGCCGCGUGAGUGAAGAAGGCCCUUGGGUCGUAAAGCUCUUUUAUGGGGGAAGAUAAUGACCGUACCCGAAGAAUAAACACCGGGUUACUACGUGCCAACAAACGCCGGAAUACUUAGGGUGCGAGCGCUGUUCGGAAUUACUGGGGGUAAAGGGCGCCCAAGCUGAAUGGCAAGUAGGAGGUGAAAGCCCGGGGCUCAACCCCAGAGGGAAUUUCCAAACUGCUAAUCUAAACAGGGUUAGGAGCCGGCAAAAUUCUUGGUGUUGAGGGGAAAUUCGUAUAUAUCAGGAAGAAUACCAAUGGCGAAAGCGGCUGGGUGUGGCCACUCUGACGCUGAGGCGCCAAAGCCUGGGGUGCCCACAAGAUUAAAUACCCUGGGAGUCCACGCCGUUAACUAACAGCACUGGACGUCCCGAGGGUUCGACCCUUCUGGGUGUCUGAGCUAACGCAUUAAUUGCUCCGCCUGGGGAGUUCGGUCGCACGACUAAAACUCAAAGGAA